rnacentral:rRNA from 1 species
AUGUUUUUAUAUUUUCAUCAACAUGCCAGAGGUGAAGGAGUUGAGGUAGUUGCAGGGGAAGUUGUGGAGCGACCAUCACAAGCGGGCAGGAUAAGGGCAUCACCAGCGCGGUUUGCAAAUUUCAAUGCCUCUCUAACCCCACCACAGAAGUCAGAGCUAGUUUCAAGGUUGUUCGGGGGGCUAUUGAACUUAUCAGACACACUUCCAGCGGACCUCACUAAGUUCAUGGUGCAGUCCUACCAGCCACAGACCUCUGAAAUGGUUUUCCCAGGAAGGGGAAGGAUCCGUGUCGAUGCUGACAGUGUUCAAAGGGUAUUUGAUCUCCCAAACAGGGGUCAAAAAGUCAGUUAUAAAGUUGACAAGGAUACAACUAGGAGAUUCAGAGAGACCUUCAACAUAACUGGAACUUCUCAUCCCCAGAUCAGCACAUGGACCAAGAUGAUUGAGGAUAUGGCUGGAAGAACGGAUGCCACAUUCUUUAUGGCCUGGCUUGUGGUUGCCUUUAGCACUUUCCUAGCACCAACCACGGCCUUGAAGCUCAGCCCAAAGUGUUACGAACUUGUGCUAGAUCAUGAAAUGAUCAAGAACACAAACAUCUGCCUCUUUGUAGCAGAACACAUUAAUGAAGCUUUCCGGAACAUGGACCAGGAGAAGCAAAUUGUCUGCUGCUGCUUGUAUCACUUGAUGGUUAGUGAAAACGACCACUUUCCAUCUGUUCUUGUUCUUUUUUGUGCAGUUAUAGUUUGCUGA